rnacentral:rRNA from 1 species
GCCCUAGAUAUUAUCUAAGGUGUAACCUGCCCAAUGAUUUUAAAUUAAAGAGUUAUAAAAAUUCUCUAAUAAAAUUUAAAGGACGCAGUAACCUUGACUGUGAUAAUGUAGCAUAAUCACUCGCCAUUUAAUUGAUGGAUAGUAUGAAUGGUUGAACGAAUAUUCCACUGUCUUAAAUAGAAACACCAAAAAAUUGAAAUAAUAGUUAAGAUGCUAUUUAAAAUUGUAAGACGAAAAGACCCUAUAGAGCUUAACUAUAACUUUUUUUUAAUUAUAAAAUAAAACUUUUAAAYAUAAAAAAGUUGGUAGUUUAGUUGGGGCGACUAUCUUCUAUAAAAAACGAAGAUAAGCAAAAUUAAUAAAAAAUAAUUUAUUGUAUAACUUAUUUGUUUAACAAUUAUUAAAGUAGGCUAUAAUGACCCGUUAUAUAUUUAUAAAAAUUAUAACGAUUAAUAAAUAAAAGCUACCUUAGGGAUAACAGGAUAAUUUCAUUCUAGAGACCAUAUCAAAAAUGAAGUUUGUCACCUCUAUGUUGAAUUAAGAUAUCCUGAUAAUGCAGAAGUUAUCAAAGGUAGGUCUGUUCGACCUUUAAAAUCUU